UACGUAGGAUGCAAGCGUUGUCCGGAUUUACUGGGCGUAAAGCGCGCGCAGGCGGCACUCUAAGUACGUCGUGAAAUAUCCCGGCUCAACCGGGAGGGUGCGAUGUAGACUAGGGAGCUAGAGGUCGGUAGAGGGGGGUGGAAUUGCUGGUGUAGCGGUGAAAUGCGUAGAGAUCAGCAGGAACACCCGUGGCGAAGGCGGCCCCCUGGGCCGUACCUGACGCUGAGGCGCGAAGGCUAGGGGAGCGAACGGGG
rnacentral:rRNA from 1 species